rnacentral:rRNA from 1 species
UACGUAGGGUGCAAGCGUUGUCCGGAAUCAUUGGGCGUAAAGCGCGCGUAGGCGGCCCGGUAAGUCCGCUGUGAAAGUCAAAGGCUCAACCUUUGAAUGUCAGCGGAUACUGCCAGGCUAGAGUCCGGAAGAGGCGGGUGGAACUCCUGGUGUAGCGGUGGAAUGCGCAGAUAUCAGGAAGAACACCAACGGCGAAGGCAGCUCGCUGGGACGGUACUGACGCUGAGACGCGAAAGCGUGGGGAGCGAACAGG